AGUCCCUGGCUGAACCCAGACUAGGGACUAAAAAUAGCCACUUCCCUGUUCCUUGUCCCAUUUUUGCCUGGGCUAGUGGCUCUGGUCUCUCAGCUGGAUGGGAGGUCUCAAGAGCUGCUCAUAGCCCCCUGGGUUCUAUCAGUUUUCCCGUGGGGGUCACUCCUACCUCUCAUGGGAGAGCACUCUUAGUGGAUGCAUUUACAGGGAGUAGAGACGGCUGUGGGUCCAGGCAUGUUAUUCAUAUGGGCCGAGUCGUCAUGCCCCAGAGCACGUGUUAGGCAGUGUCUGCUGCUGGGAUGUGUCAUGAGCUCUUGGGCCAGCUUUGCAGGAAGAAACCUUGCUGUCCUAGGUUGUGAACAUGCUAAGACGAACUCACUAUUGUAUACCUCGUCCUCACCAGGAAGGCAAGAAGUUUCCAAAACAGGUCUUUUUCACCCUUUACUUAACAUCAGCCACAAAACCUCUUUGUUGUCAAAAAGUAACAUCUCUAAACUUGUCCGUGAUUGAAAAUAAGUGGAGAAGAAUCUAAACAGCAAUCACCAUGGAAACAGACAAGCACGAAACCAAAGGAAUGAACACAAACCAGCUGUCCAGAAGCAAUAUUAGAGGAGUUUCAGGCAUGGUCCUAAAUCUUUCAGACCUGAAUCCCUGAAUUUCUUCUUCUAUCUCUAUACACAUUUUC